rnacentral:rRNA from 1 species
AUGGUGCCCGUGACGCACGACCCGAGCUGCCGGCGCCGGCGCCGGUGCGUGAUCGCCGCCAGGAACACCGACCGCAGACGCGCCAGCGCGUCCGCGCGCUUCUUCCUCGACGACGAGGAGGAAGAGGAGGACUGCUCGCCGGUGGAAGACGAGUGCGCGGAGGACAGAGCGGCUGCUCCAGCCUCCUCCUCGUCUCCCUCGUCCUCCGCCUCUUGGCCGCUCGGCCCGCUGCGCUGCGGCGCCUUGCUGGAGCGCUUCUUGAGCAGCCAAGUGAAGCUCCCGCUGCCACCGCCGCCGCUCGGUGCGGUGGCGCUCCUGGAGCUGGAAGAGGGGAGGGGCAGCGGGGAUGCCGCGCGAAAGGCUCUCGCCAUGAUGGCCAGCGCCGGCAAGCUCGCGCACUCUCUCUGCCUUUCUUUGCUGCGCCCGUCCGUGCGUGCGCGAUGCUAA